rnacentral:sRNA from 1 species
CACCGCCUGGGGAGUACGACCGCAAGGUUAAAACUCAAAUGAAUUGACGGGGACCCGCACAAGUAGUAGAGCAUGUGGUUUAAUUCGAAGAUACGCGCAGAACCUUACCAACACUUGACAUGUUCGUCGCGACUCUAAGAGAUUAGAGUUUUCGGUUCGGCCGGACGAAACACAGGUGCUGCAUGGCUGUCGUCAGCUCGUGUCGUGAGAUGUUGGGUUAAGUCCCGCAACGAGCGCAACCCUUACUUUUAGUUGCUACCAUUCAGUUGGGCACUCUAAAAGAACUGCCAGUGAUAAGCUGGAGGAAGGUGGGGAUGACGUCAAGUCCUCAUGGCCCUUAUGUGUUGGGCUACACACGUGCUACAAUGGUAUUUACAGUGAGAUGCAAAGAGGCGACUCCAAGCAAACCCUCAAAAAGUACCUCAGUUCGGAUUGUACUCUGCAACUCGAGUACAUGAAGCUGGAAUUACUAGUAAUCGCGGAUCAGCGCGCCGCGGUGAAUACGUUCCCGGGUCUUGUACACACCGCCCGUCACACCAUGGAAGUUGGUUACACCUUAAGGCAAAGUGUAAAACCUUUGACUACGGUACGAUCAGCGACUGGGGUGAAGUCGUAACAAGGUAGCCGUAGGGGAACCUGCGGCUGGAUCACCUCCUUUCUAAGGAAAUCGAAAAUGUUAUUUUCGAUUUAAAAAAAACCGGUAAUGUGACCGUCCUCAUUUCUCUUCUUUUAAUGUCUCUGAGUAAAAAUUAAGGGGCCGGUAGCUCAGGUGGUUAGAGCGCACCCCUGAUAAGGGUGAGGUCGGAAGUUCGAAUCUUCCUCGGCCCACCAAAGAUUUCGGGGGAUUAGCUCAGCUGGGAGAGCGCCUGAUUUGCAUUCAGGAGGUCAGCGGUUCGAUCCCGCUAUCCUCCACCAAAGUUUGAGACAUUUAGCUUUUUUAAAUUGUGAAUAUUAAUAUUAUCAAUAUCUAUAUCCGAUUGUUUUCAGAUAUUUUUUUGAAAACAAUCAAAACAAAAAUUUGAAUUUUACACAGAAAUUUUUUUUCUG